rnacentral:rRNA from 1 species
GACGAACGCUGGCGGCGUGCUUAACACAUGCAAGUCGAACGGAAAGGCCCUGCUUUUGUGGGGUGCUCGAGUGGCGAACGGGUGAGUAACACGUGAGUAACCUGCCCUUGACUUUGGGAUAAUUUCAGGAAACUGGGGCUAUACCGGAUAGGAGCUCCUGCUGCAUGGUGGGGGUUGGAAAGUUUCGGCGGUUGGGGAUGGACUCGCGGCUUAUCAGCUUGUUGGUGGGGUAGUGGCUUACCAAGGCUUUGACGGGUAGCCGGCCUGAGAGGGUGACCGGCCACAUUGGGACUGAGAUACGGCCCAGACUCCUACGGGAGGCAGCAGUGGGGAAUAUUGCACAAUGGGCGGAAGCCUGAUGCAGCAACGCCGCGUGCGGGAUGACGGCCUUCGGGUUGUAAACCGCUUUCGCCUGUGACGAAGCGUGAGUGACGGUAAUGGGUAAAGAAGCACCGGCUAACUACGUG